GAAUUCAGAAGACAUGUGUCCAGUUCCACAAAACACUCCUUGCCUUCAGCUUUUGCUCAUUAGACAAUAAUGCAGGUUUAGAGACAGAUGAACAAUUUGAUCUUAACAGGCAAUGAGUUGUUGGGAUAGCAGUGAGUUGUGUGCUGUACUUUUGACUUUGUAUAUUUUUUAAGUGGAAUUCAAAGUUGGGUACUUUUUUUUUUUUAACGAAAGCCAUACACAUGGUUGUUCUCUUUCUUUUUGUAGCUUAGCUAAGGCUCAUUUGCCCGUGAACCUGUGAGUAUUCCACAAGCUACGGAAGUGAGAGAGGAGCUUCAGCAAAGCAGAGUAUUAGCAAAUUAAUCACAAAACAUUUAUACCUAGCACUUUUUAUAAAGUACAAAAGUUGUAAGGAAGCCAGUCUCCAUUUAUGAAUGUCAUGUUCUAGGAGUUGUUAACUGCUUGGAAAUCAGAAUUUAUUCUCUAUGACGGGAUCCAUGGUGCAGUUAUGAAAACAAGUUUACCCCACACUGUAUUCAAACUCUGCUCUAGUACCAGCUUAAUUACAGGUCCCAAGAAUAAAAGAUGAGAGAAUGUACAUCUGUUCUCUACCUACAGUUUUGUCAGAGGGUUUCAGUCCCCUCGCAUCGUCUUUUCUCUAGACCACCCCUAGGCCUACAGGGGUCUUCAGCCCAUCUCCAUUCC
rnacentral:lncRNA from 1 species